rnacentral:rRNA from 1 species
CGCUUUUUGAUUUUAAUAAAAAGUAAAGCCUGCCCAAUGAGUAAUUUAAAUGGCCGCGGUAAUUUGACCGUGCGAAGGUAGCAUAAUCAUUAGUCUAUUAAUUGUAGACUGGUAUGAAUGGUUUGAAUGAAAAAUUUCUGUCUCUUAAGUAGAAAUGAAUUUUAAAAUCUUGUGAAGAUGCAGGAAUGGUAUUAAAAGACGAGAAGACCCUAUUAAGCUUUAUAUUUUUUAUGCUUUAUAAGGUUAAAAGUAUAAAUAGUAUUUUGUUGGGGCGACAAUAAAGAUUAAAUAACCUUUAUUUUUAAUAAUAAAAUUAAUAUAAAAAUGAUCCAUAUAAUAUGAUUAAAAGAACAAGUUACUAUAGGGAUAACAGCGUAAUUUUAUCGGAGAGUUCAAAUUGAUGAUAAAGAUUGCGACCUCGAUGUUGAAUUAGGAUACCUUUAAGGUGCAGCUGUUUUUUAAGGUAGACUGUUCGUCUAUUAAAAUCCUACA